GUGGGGAAUUUUGGACAAUGGGCGCAAGCCUGAUCCAGCAAUGCCGCGUGCAGGAAGAAGGCCUUCGGGUUGUAAACUGCUUUUGUACGGAACGAAACGGUCCGGGUUAAUACCCUGGGCUAAUGACGGUACCGUAAGAAUAAGCACCGGCUAACUACGUGCCAGCAGCCGCGGUAAUACGUAGGGUGCAAGCGUUAAUCGGAAUUACUGGGCGUAAAGCGUGCGCAGGCGGUUUUGUAAGACAGGCGUGAAAUCCCCGGGCUGAAGCUGGGAAUUGCGCUUGUGACUGCAAGGCUAGAGUGCGGCAGAGGGGGAUGGAAUUCCGCGUGUAGCAGUGAAAUGCGUAGAUAUGCGGAGGAACACCGAUGGCGAAGGCAAUCCCCUGGGCCUGCACUGACGCUCAUGCACGAAAGCGUGGGGAGCAAACAGGAUUAGAAACCCUGGUAGUCC
rnacentral:rRNA from 1 species